rnacentral:misc_RNA from 1 species
GAAAUGCGAUAAGUAAUGUGAAUUGCAGAAUUCAGUGAAUCAUCGAAUCUUUGAACGCACAUUGCGCCCUCUGGUAUUCCGAAGGGCAUGCCUGUUCGAGCGUCAUUUAAACUCUCAAGCUUUGCUUGGUAUUGAAGGAUAUCUAAGGAUACCUUUCCAACAAGUUGUGCAAGUAGAUUAAACUUCAAGCGUAGCAAUGUUAUCGCUUAGUUGUGAAAUUGAACUUUGCCUUACAAUCCAAAAACUUCAAGUUUGACCUCGGAUCAGGUAGGGAUACCCGCUGAACUUAA